rnacentral:lncRNA from 1 species
UGAAAGAAAAAAGCACAGAAGUGUAUGAAGGUGGCAAUGAAGAGGAACAAGAUGAUACGGGUCUGGAGUAUUGCAGCGAAGACGAAGGAGGUGCCAUGGAUGUUGACAGCGAUGAUGAGUAGAUGUUUUAAUGUAGAGGUACUAUCUUCAUUCUUCAUUUAGUUGUUGUUUCCUAUUGUCUACAUGGAGUUUAUGUUCAGUAUAGGGUUAACACAAGUUUGCCAUGAUUUAGUUUAUGUUCAGUACAGUUUUAAAGAGAGUGAGGUGUUUUAUGCACUACAUGGAGUUUUUGUUCAGUACAUUACCAACUGCUAUUUCCUAAAAAAAAUCUCACUGAAUCCUGUAGUUAAUGUGUUGGCCGGUGUGUUAGAGGAUUAAAAUGGUAGUAUUUGAAGUUUUAUCUUGUUUGCCUUAACAGAGUUUUAGUCUGUCAGUGUGUUGUGAUCCAUAGUGUUUGUUCAGUACAGUACAUGAGAGUGUGAUGUUUUUUCUUCUCACUGAUGCAUAGUUUUGUUCAGUACAGUUCAUGGAAACUUCUAAUUUUGAAAUAUUCGACAGGCGUUGCUAAUGAGGCUGAGAAGGAGAUGCUCAAAAAUGGUUGUGUUGCAAGCUUAAGUUGGUCUGGAGUUUUAUUUUGUUUGCCUUGAUACGGCAAUGACCGCUGAUCCUUGUUGUGAUCCAUAACAGAGUUGUAUCUGAAGUUUUAUUUUGUUUUCCUUCAUAGGCCAACCAUUUUGUCUGUCAGUGUGUUAAGGAAGUCGCUGUAGUUGUAAUCCUUGUUGUACGCUUGACAAUAUAUCAUCUAUGCACCGGAUGUUGUGAGGAUGGCAUAUGUGUGCUGUCAUUGGCUAUUCAGUUUCACAAAUAAUUCCUGAAAUUCAUAAGGCUCAUGUAUGUUCAGAAUAUG